UGUGCCCAUUUCUUCAGCAGGGGGUUUGCAGACAGCUCAGCAGGAUGUCCUGGGACCAGUGCAGCCCAACUGGAAGUACCAGCGAGCUGAAAAACUCCCUUCAGAAGCACUCAGCCAUGGCCUACUGAGGAACUGCAAAGAUUCAGCUAAACUGCCAUCAUCUCCUUGUGAUAACUUGUCACACUGUCGGAAUUUAAGCACCAGCAAUCUACUGGGAGUAAACGUCCUUCUGUACACUACCUAAAGGAUGGCUACCCUGGGGUUUCUACCAAGCCUACAUGAUCAUAUAUUGAUGCUAGGCUUAUUUAUUUCGGUGGUUCUGAAGUACACUUAAUCAUCUUACUAAGGUGCCCUGUGUGGUACGUAAUUAAUGUUAUACAUUGACUUUGGAGGAAAGCUUUGGGAGGGGAUUUGGAUGAUCCAGAAGAAAUAUAGUAACUUCUUUAUAUUCAACAGAGAGCUUGCGUGGUAUAGAUGGAGCGCUUCCAUUUACAAAGAUGAAGAACAAUGAGAAUGUUUCUUUUUCACCCCGUGCCCCAAACGUUCGUGGUAUUCACUGUUUAAACACAGGUCCAGUGCUAAUUUUUGCCAAAGGUGAAAGAGAGAGUGAAAAAUCAUUAAUUCAAUUUCUCACUGUUUUGCCUCUGGUGAUUGCUGUCACUUCAGGUAAUAGCUUGUCUGUGGUUCUGACCCAGUUCUUAAACCAGUCUUUCCGUACUCCACCAAUUAAUCUAAUGGUUCAUUAAUUGCAAACAUCUGAAAUCAUUAGAACCUGAUCGAGCACAAAAGCAUCAAAUCCUGCAAAGCUGUGACUGCUUAGCCAGCAAAUGGUCUCAUUGCAAAGGAAUGUCAAUGUUUAUAGUAAAUGUAACCUAAACUAGGGUGUUCAUUGACAUAUCCCUCCAUUUGUAUACAACGACUCUGACAUCUAUCAGUUCAAGAGUGCAUGAUUUAUCCACUGCUAUAUCCUGGAACUGACAAGCCAAAGAUUACGGCUUAACCUACAUGAAAGCAGAGGCUGUAUGUAUUCCUAAAAUAAAUAUUUAGUAAC
rnacentral:lncRNA from 7 species